AGAGUUUGAUCCUGGCUCAGAUUGAACGCUGGCGGCAUGCCUUACACAUGCAAGUCGAACGGCAGCACGGGAGCAAUCCUGGUGGCGAGUGGCGAACGGGUGAGUAAUAUAUCGGAACGUGCCCAAUCGUGGGGGAUAACGCAGCGAAAGCUGUGCUAAUACCGCAUACGAUCUACGGAUGAAAGCGGGGGAUUCGCAAGAACCUCGCGCGAAUGGAGCGGCCGAUAUCAGAUUAGCUAGUUGGUGGGGUAAAAGCUCACCAAGGCGACGAUCUGUAGCUGGUCUGAGAGGACGACCAGCCACACUGGAACUGAGACACGGUCCAGACUCCUACGGGAGGCAGCAGUGGGGAAUUUUGGACAAUGGGCGCAAGCCUGAUCCAGCAAUGCCGCGUGCAGGAUGAAGGCCUUCGGGUUGUAAACUGCUUUUGUACGGAACGAAACGGUCCUUUCUAAUAAAGAGGGCUAAUGACGGUACCGUAAGAAUAAGCACCGGCUAACUACGUGCCAGCAGCCGCGGUAAUACGUAGGGUGCGAGCGUUAAUCGGAAUUACUGGGCGUAAAGCGUGCGCAGGCGGUGAUGUAAGACAGAUGUGAAAUCCCCGGGCUCAACCUGGGACCUGCAUUUGUGACUGCAUCGCUAGAGUACGGUAGAGGGGGAUGGAAUUCCGCGUGUAGCAGUGAAAUGCGUAGAUAUGCGGAGGAACACCGAUGGCGAAGGCAAUCCCCUGGACCUGUACUGACGCUCAUGCACGAAAGCGUGGGGAGCAAACAGGAUUAGAUACCCUGGUAGUCCACGCC
rnacentral:rRNA from 1 species